CCCUCCUUUCCCCUCCCCUCCUCCACACAUGCUCCAGCACAGUCACUCCUCUCCACCCAGUGUUCCUAUUGUAGAAUGGCAGAGACCAUGAUGACAGCGUCUACUUCAUGGAGCAGCUGCGUGGCAUGGAUGAGCUGUCACAGGUCAAGUGUUUACAACAGGCCUGCUCUCGGGAGGUGCUGGCCCAUUCUGCACUCCUGCCCUUCCUCUAACGUCUCCUCCUCCUCAUCUGUGGAUCUUCCUUCUGCUCCUCUGCAGCUGAGGCUUCCUGAGAAGUUCUGGAGGCUGGGAAGUCCAUGGUCGAGCGGCU